rnacentral:rRNA from 1 species
UGAGUAACCUGCCCUUCACUCUGGGAUAACUCCGGGAAACCGGGCUAAUACUGGAUAUGACUCGAACAGGCAUCUGUUUCGGGUGGAAAGAUUUAUUGGUGGAGGAUGGACUCGCGGCCUAUCAGCUUGUUGGUGAGGUAAUGGCUCACCAAGGCAACGAUGCGUAGCCGACCUGAGAGGGUNAUCGGCCACAUUGGAACUGAGACACGGUCCAGACCUCCGUACGGGAGCA